rnacentral:rRNA from 1 species
AUUGAACGCUGGCGGCAGGCCUAACACAUGCAAGUCGAGCGAGCGGCGGACGGGUGAGUAAUGUAUGGGGACUGCCCGAUAGAGGGGGAUAACUACUGGAAACGGUAGCUAAUACUGCAUACUAUCGGAUAACCCAGAUGGGAUUAGCUAGUAGGUGAGGUAAUGGCUCACCUAGGCGACGAUCCCUAGCUGGUCUGAGAGGAUGAUCAGGCACACUGGGACUGCGACACGGCCCCGACUCCUACGGAGGCAGCAGUGGGGAAUAUUUUACAAUGGGCGCAAGUCUGAUGCAGCAAUGGCGCGUGUAUGAAGAAUGAUCUAGGGGUGUAAAGUACUUUCAGCUGGGAGGCGUUACCGACAGAAGAAGCACCGGCUAACUUCGUGACAGCCGCCGCGGUAAUUC